rnacentral:rRNA from 1 species
UCGCACGAGAAAGUGGAGCAUCCAUGAGUACAGUGGCGUACGGGUGAGUAACACGUGGAUCAUCUACCUCUUGGUGGGGAAUAACCCUGGGAAACCGGGGCUAAUACCGCAUAAGCCUGCAAAGGGAAAGCAGCAAUGCGCCGAGAGAGGAGUCCGCGGCCGAUUAGCUUGUUGGUAGGGUAACGGCCUACCAAGGCAAUGAUCGGUAGCCGGCCUGAGAGGGCACACGGCCACACUGGCACUGAAACACGGGCCAGACUCCUACGGGAGGCAGCAGUGGGGAAUCUUGCACAAUGGGGGAAACCCUGAUGCAGCGACGCCGCGUGAGCGAUGAAGCCCUUCGGGGUGUAAAGCUCUUUCGGCAGGAACGAUAAUGACGGUACCUGCAGAAGAAGCUGCGGCUAACUACGUGCCAGCAGCCGCGGUAAUACGUAGGCAGCAAGCGUUGUUCGGAAUUACUGGGCGUAAAGAGUGUGUAGGCGGUUCUCUAAGUUCCGUGUGAAAUCUCCCGGCUUAACUGGGAGGGUGCGCGGAAAACUGGAGGGCUGGAGUAUGGGAGAGGAAAGCGGAAUUCCUGGUGUAGCGGUGAAAUGCGUAGAUAUCAGGAGGAACACCUGCGGUGUAGACAGCUUUCUGGACCAUCACUGACGCUGAGACACGAAAGCGUGGGUAGCAAACAGGAUUAGAUACCCUGGUAGUCCACGCCCUAAACGAUGCAUACUUGGUGUGAGCCGUUCAUUCGGUUCGUGCCGGAGUUAACGCGUUAAGUAUGCCGCCCUGGGGAGUACGGUCGCAAGGCUG